rnacentral:rRNA from 1 species
CGUAGGAUCCGAGCGUUGUCCGGAUUUACUGGGUGUAAAGGGUGCGCAGGCGGACUGGUAAGUCAGUGGUGAAAUCUCGUCGCUUAACGACGAAACUGCCUUUGAUACUAUCAGUCUUGAGUCCGGUAGAGAUCUGUGGAAUUCCGAGUGUAGCAGUGAAAUGUGUAGAUAUUCGGAAGAAUACCAGUGGCGAAGGCAGCAGAUUGGGCCGGUACUGACGCUCAUGCACGAAAGCGUGGGGAUCAAACAGGAUUAGAUACCCUGGUAGUCCACGCCCUAAACGAUGUACACUUGAUGUCGGCCUGUAAGGGUCGGUGUCGGAGCUAACGCGUUAAGUGUACCACCUGGGGAGUACGCUCGCAAAGGGUG